rnacentral:rRNA from 1 species
GGCGAGUGGCGAACGGGUGAGUAAUAUAUCGGAACGUACCCAAGAGUGGGGGAUAACGCAGCGAAAGUUGCGCUAAUACCGCAUACGAUCUAAGGAUGAAAGCAGGGGACCGCAAGGCCUUGUGCUCCUGGAGCGGCCGAUAUCUGAUUAGCUAGUUGGUGAGGUAAAGGCUCACCAAGGCGACGAUCAGUAGCUGGUCUGAGAGGACGACCAGCCACACUGGAACUGAGACACGGUCCAGACUCCUACGGGAGGCAGCAGUGGGGAAUUUUGGACAAUGGGCGCAAGCCUGAUCCAGCAAUGCCGCGUGAGUGAAGAAGGCCUUCGGGUUGUAAAGCUCUUUUGUCAGGGAAGAAACGGCUGUGGCUAAUAUCCACGGCUAAUGACGGUACCUGAAGAAUAAGCACCGGCUAACUACGUGCCAGCAGCCGCGGUAAUACGUAGGGUGCAAGCGUUAAUCGGAAUUACUGGGCGUAAAGCGUGCGCAGGCGGUUUUGUAAGUCUGACGUGAAAUCCACGGGCUUAACCUGGGAAUUGCGUUGGAGACUGCAAGGCUAGAAUCUGGCAGAGGGGGGUAGAAUUCCACGUGUAGCAGUGAAAUGCGUAGAGAUGUGGAGGAACACCGAUGGCGAAGGCAGCCCCCUGGGUCAAGAUUGACGCUCAUGCACGAAAGCGUGGGGAGCAAACAGGAUUAGAUACCCUGGUAGUCCACGCCCUAAGCGAUGUCUACUAGUUGUCGGGUCUUAAUUGACUUGGUAAC